rnacentral:tRNA from 20 species
GGGUGUAGCGCAGUUGGUAGCGCACUCGUCUAAGAAGCGAGGGGUCGUCGGUUCGAGCCCGACCAUCCCCGCCU